CUUGACAUCCAGCGAACUUGGCAGAGAUGCCUUGGUGCCUUCGGGAACGCUGAGACAGGUGCUGCAUGGCUGUCGUCAGCUCGUGUUGUGAAAUGUUGGGUUAAGUCCGCAACGAGCGCAACCCUUAUCCUUUGUUGCCAGCGAUUCGGUCGGGAACUCAAAGGAGACUGCCGGUGAUAAACCGGAGGAAGGUGGGGAUGACGUCAAGUCAUCAUGGCCCUUACGAGUAGGGCUACACACGUGCUACAAUGGCGCAUACAAAGAGAAGCGACCUCGCGAGAGCAAGCGGACCUCAUAAAGUGCGUCGUAGUCCGGAUCGGAGUCUGCAACUCGACUCCGUGAAGUCGGAAUCGCUAGUAAUCGUGGAUCAGAAUGCCACGGUGAAUACGUUCCCGGGCCUUGUACACACCGCCCGUCACACCAUGGGAGUGGGUUGCAAAAGAAGUAGGUAGCUUAACCUUCGGGAGGGCGCUUACCACUUUGUGAUUCAUGACUGGGGUGAAGUCGUAACAAGGUAGGCGUAGACGU
rnacentral:rRNA from 1 species